UACGGGGGGGCAAGCGUUGUUCGGAAUUACUGGGCGUAAAGGGCUCGUAGGCGGCCAACUAAGUCAGACGUGAAAUCCCUCGGCUUAACCGGGGAACUGCGUCUGAUACUGGAUGGCUGGAGGUUGGGAGAGGGAUGCGGAAUUCCAGGUGUAGCGGUGAAAUGCGUAGAUAUCUGGAGGAACACCGGUGGCGAAGGCGGCAUCCUGGACCAAUUCUGACGCUGAGUGAGCGAAAGCCAGGGGAGCAAACGGG
rnacentral:rRNA from 1 species